rnacentral:tRNA from 1 species
GUGGCGCAGUGGUUAACGCAUCUGACUAGGAACCAUCAGGUUGCAGGUUCAAUCCCUGCC